GGCGGGGUAGCUCAGUCGGUUAGAGCGUCGGAUUCAUAACCCGAAGGUCGAGGGUUCGAUUCCCUCCCCCGCUA
rnacentral:tRNA from 1 species